AUUGAACGCUGGCGGCAGGCCUAACACAUGCAAGUCGCGCGGAGCGGCGAACGGGUGAGUAAUGCCUAGGCAUCUGCCUGGUAGUGGGGGAUACCUUCCGGACACGGGCGCUAAUACCGCAUCCUAUCAGAUGAGCCUAUGUCGGAUUAGCUCGUUGGUGGGGUAAAGGCCUACCAAGGCGACGAUCCGUAACGGGGCUGAGAGGAUGAUCAGUCACACUGGAAAUAGUACACGGGCCAGACUCCUACGGGAGGCAUAAGGGGGGAAUAUUGGACAAUGGGCGAAAGCCGGAUCCAGCCAUGCCGCGUGUGUGAAGAAGGUCUUCGGAUUGUAAAGCACUUUAAGUUGGGAGGCGUUAUCAACAGAAUAAGCAACGGCUAACUUCGUGCCAGCAGCCGCGGUAAUAC
rnacentral:rRNA from 1 species